rnacentral:lncRNA from 1 species
UACAAAUUGUUCCUAUCUGGGUUUUUAAAAAAAGAAAAUUGGUCAGAAGGGACUCUAUCUAGCUGCCAGGUGUCCAAUUCGGACUAAUUAGACUAAAAUGCUCCCGAAUCACAAAUUUUGGGACUAAUUUUACUAAUUUUGCAACUUGUUAAACUAAACUGAUCCCACCUCUUAAGUUGUUGGUUCAGUGGUGCAAUUACCUCAAAAAGAAGCGGAUGGAGCCAUGGAGGCACCGGUGGAACUAUAUUGGGGCCAAACUGGGCCAGGCCUGCCCAGGUUUUUGCAAAAGAAAAAAAAACUAGUACUAGUAAAGCCCCAGUCCAGUAGAAGAAAAUUUGAGUUCUC